UUAAGCGACUAAGCGUACACGGUGGAUGCCCUGGCAGUCAGAGGCGAUGAAGGACGUGCUAAUCUGCGAAAAGCGUCGGUAAGGUGAUAUGAACCGUUAUAGCCGGCGAUGUCCGAAUGGGGAAACCCAGUGCAAUUCGUUGCACUAUCGUUAACUGAAUACAUAGGUUAACGAGGCGAACCGGGGGAACUGAAACAUCUAAGUACCCCGAGGAAAAGAAAUCAACCGAGAUUCCCCCAGUAGCGGCGAGCGAACGGGGAGCAGCCCGGAGUCUGAAUCAGCUUGUGUGUUAGUGGAAGCGUCUGGAAAGUCGCAGGGUACAGGGUGAUACUCCCGUACACUAAAACACACAGGUUGUGAACUCGAAGAGUAGGGCGGGACACGUGGUAUCCUGUCUGAAUAUGGGGGGACCAUCCUCCAAGGCUAAAUACUCCUGACUGACCGAUAGUGAACCAGUACCGUGAGGGAAAGGCGAAAAGAACCCCGGCGAGGGGAGUGAAAAAGAACCUGAAACCGUGUACGUACAAGCAGUAGGAGCCCACUAGUUGGGUGACUGCGUACCUUUUGUAUAAUGGGUCAGCGACUUAUAUUCUGUAGCAAGGUUAACCGAAUAGGGGAGCCGCAGGGAAACCGAGUCUUAACUGGGCGUUAAGUUGCAGGGUAUAGACCCGAAACCCGGUGAUCUAGCCAUGGGCAGGUUGAAGGUUGGGUAACACUAACUGGAGGACCGAACCGACUAAUGUUGAAAAAUUAGCGGAUGACUUGUGGCUGGGGGUGAAAGGCCAAUCAAACCGGGAGAUAGCUGGUUCUCCCCGAAAGCUAUUUAGGUAGCGCCUCGUGAACUCAUCUUCGGGGGUAGAGCACUGUUUCGGCUAGGGGGUCAUCCCGACUUACCAACCCGAUGCAAACUACGAAUACCGAAGAAUGUUAUCACGGGAGACACACGGCGGGUGCUAACGUCCGUCGUGAAGAGGGAAACAACCCAGACCGCCAGCUAAGGUCCCAAAGUCAUGGUUAAGUGGGAAACGAUGUGGGAAGGCCCAGACAGCCAGGAUGUUGGCUUAGAAGCAGCCAUCAUUUAAAGAAAGCGUAAUAGCUCACUGGUCGAGUCGGCCUGCGCGGAAGAUGUAACGGGGCUAAACCAUGCACCGAAGCUGCGGCAGCGACGCUUAUGCGUUGUUGGGUAGGGGAGCGUUCUGUAAGCCGUUGAAGGUGGCCUGUGAGGGUUGCUGGAGGUAUCAGAAGUGCGAAUGCUGACAUAAGUAACGAUAAUGCGGGUGAAAAACCCGCACGCCGGAAGACCAAGGGUUCCUGUCCAACGUUAAUCGGGGCAGGGUGAGUCGACCCCUAAGGCGAGGCCGAAAGGCGUAGUCGAUGGGAAACAGGUUAAUAUUCCUGUACUUGGUGUUACUGCGAAGGGGGGACGGAGAAGGCUAUGUUGGCCGGGCGACGGUUGUCCCGGUUUAAGCAUGUAGGCGGAUGUUCCAGGUAAAUCCGGAACGUUAUUAACGCUGAGGUGUGAUGACGAGGCACUACGGUGCUGAAGUGACAAAUGCCCUGCUUCCAGGAAAAGCCUCUAAGCAUCAGGUAACAUCAAAUCGUACCCCAAACCGACACAGGUGGUCAGGUAGAGAAUACCAAGGCGCUUGAGAGAACUCGGGUGAAGGAACUAGGCAAAAUGGUGCCGUAACUUCGGGAGAAGGCACGCUGAUGGUAAGUGAAGUGACUUGCUCAUGGAGCUGAAAUCAGUCGAAGAUACCAGCUGGCUGCAACUGUUUAUUAAAAACACAGCACUGUGCAAACACGAAAGUGGACGUAUACGGUGUGACGCCUGCCCGGUGCCGGAAGGUUAAUUGAUGGGGUUAUCCUCGCGGAGAAGCUCUUGAUCGAAGCCCCGGUAAACGGCGGCCGUAACUAUAACGGUCCUAAGGUAGCGAAAUUCCUUGUCGGGUAAGUUCCGACCUGCACGAAUGGCGUAAUGAUGGCCAGGCUGUCUCCACCCGAGACUCAGUGAAAUUGAACUCGCUGUGAAGAUGCAGUGUACCCGCGGCAAGACGGAAAGACCCCGUGAACCUUUACUAUAGCUUGACACUGAACACUGGUCCUUGAUGUGUAGGAUAGGUGGGAGGCUUUGAAGUGUGGACGCCAGUCUGCAUGGAGCCGUCCUUGAAAUACCACCCUUUAAUGGCUGGUGUUCUAACGUGGGCCCGUGAUCCGGGUUGCGGACAGUGUCUGGUGGGUAGUUUGACUGGGGCGGUCUCCUCCUAAAGAGUAACGGAGGAGCACGAAGGUCAGCUAAUCCUGGUCGGACAUCAGGAGGUUAGUGCAAUGGCAUAAGCUGGCUUGACUGCGAGCGUGACGGCGCGAGCAGGUGCGAAAGCAGGUCAUAGUGAUCCGGUGGUUCUGAAUGGAAGGGCCAUCGCUCAACGGAUAAAAGGUACUCCGGGGAUAACAGGCUGAUACCGCCCAAGAGUUCAUAUCGACGGCGGUGUUUGGCACCUCGAUGUCGGCUCAUCACAUCCUGGGGCUGAAGUAGGUCCCAAGGGUAUGGCUGUUCGCCAUUUAAAGUGGUACGCGAGCUGGGUUUAGAACGUCGUGAGACAGUUCGGUCCCUAUCUGCCGUGGGCGCUGGAGAAUUGAGGGGGGCUGCUCCUAGUACGAGAGGACCGGAGUGGACGCAUCACUGGUGUUCGGGUUGUCAUGCCAAUGGCAUUGCCCGGUAGCUAAAUGCGGAAGAGAUAAGUGCUGAAAGCAUCUAAGCACGAAACUUGCCCCGAGAUGAGUUCUCCCUGACUCCUUGAGAGUCCUGAAGGAACGUUGAAGACGACGACGUUGAUAGGCCGGGUGUGUAAGCGCAGCGAUGCGUUGAGCUAACCGGUACUAAUGAACCGUGAGGCUUAACCUU
rnacentral:rRNA from 1 species